AGUGAACGCUGGCGGUAGGCCUAACACAUGCAAGUCGAACGGCAGCACAGUAAGAGCUUGCUCUUACGGGUGGCGAGUGGCGGACGGGUGAGGAAUACAUCGGAAUCUACUUUUUCGUGGGGGAUAACGUAGGGAAACUUACGCUAAUACCGCAUACGACCUACGGGUGAAAGCAGGGGAUCUUCGGACCUUGCGCGAGUGAAUGAGCCGAUGUCGGAUUAGCUAGUUGGAGGGGUAAAGGCCCACCAAGGCGACGAUCCGUAGCUGGACUGAGAGGAUGAUCAGCCACACUGGAACUGAGACACGGUCCAGACUCCUACGGGAGGCAGCAGUGGGGAAUAUUGGACAAUGGGCGCAAGCCUGAUCCAGCCAUACCGCGUGGGUGAAGAAGGCCUUCUGGUUGUAAAGCCCUUUUGUUGGGAAAGAAAAGCAGCAGGUUAAUACCCCGCUGUUCUGACGGUACCCAAAGAAUAAGCACCGGCUAACUUCGUG
rnacentral:rRNA from 1 species